GACGAACGCUGGCGGCGCGCUUAACACAUGCAAGUCGAACGGAAAGGCCUGCUUUCCCUUGUGGAUUGCGGGUACUCGAGUGGCGAACGGGUGAGUAACACGUGAGUGAUCUGCCCCCAACUUGGGUAUAAGCCUGGGAAACUGGGUCUAAUUCCCGAUAGGACUGCAGGGUGGUGCCUGUGGUGGAAAACGAUUUUCUAGUGGUUGGGGAUGAGCUCGCGGCCUAUCAGCUUGUUGGUGGGGUAAUGGCCUACCGAGGCGGCGACGGGUAGCCGGCCUGAGAGGGUGGACGGCCACAGUGGGACUGAGAUACGGCCCAGACUCCUACGGGAGGCAGCAGUGGGGAAUAGUGCACAAUGGGCGGAAGCCUGAUGCAGCGACGCCGCGUGGGGGAUGACGGCCUUCGGGUUGUAAACUCCUUUCGACCGCGAGGAAGCCACCUGGUUGGAAGGGUGGUGACGGUAGUGGUAGAAGAAGCACCGGCUAACUACGUG
rnacentral:rRNA from 1 species